rnacentral:rRNA from 1 species
AUGCAUGCGGGCAGCUACCAUGCAGUCGAGCGGUAACAGAUCCAGCUUGCUGGAUGCUGACGAGCGGCGGACGGGUGAGUAAUGCAUAGGAAUCUGCCCGAUAGUGGGGGAUAACCUGGGGAAACCCAGGCUAAUACCGCAUACGUCCUACGGGAGAAAGGGGGCUUCGGCUCCCGCUAUCGGAUGAGCCUAUGUCGGAUUAGCUAGUUGGUGAGGUAACGGCUCACCAAGGCCACGAUCCGUAGCUGGUCUGAGAGGAUGAUCAGCCACAUCGGGACUGAGACACGGCCCGAACUCCUACGGGAGGCAGCAGUGGGGAAUAUUGGACAAUGGGGGGAACCCUGAUCCAGCCAUGCCGCGUGUGUGAAGAAGGCCCUCGGGUUGUAAAGCACUUUCAGCGAGGAAGAACGCCUAGCGGUUAAUACCCGCUAGGAAAGACAUCACUCGCAGAAGAAGCACCGGCUAACUCCGUGCCAGCAGCCGCGGUAAUACGGAGGGUGCAAGCGUUAAUCGGAAUUACUGGGCGUAAAGCGCGCGUAGGUGGCUUGAUAAGCCGGUUGUGAAAGCCCCGGGCUCAACCUGGGAACGGCAUCCGGAACUGUCAAGCUAGAGUGCAGGAGAGGAAGGUAGAAUUCCCGGUGUAGCGGUGAAAUGCGUAGAGAUCGGGAGGAAUACCAGUGGCGAAGGCGGCCUUCUGGACUGACACUGACACUGAGGUGCGAAAGCGUGGGUAGCAAACAGGAUUAGUCCCC